rnacentral:rRNA from 1 species
GACGAACGCUGGCGGCGUGCUUAACACAUGCAAGUCGAACGGUAAGGCCCCUUCGGGGUACACGAGUGGCGAACGGGUGAGUAACACGUGAGCAACCUGCCCUUGACUCUGGAAUAACAGUUGGAAACAGCUGCUAAUACUGGAUAUUCAUCGUCUCCUUCCUGGGGGGUGGUGGAAAGCUCCGGCGGUCAGGGAUGGGCUCGCGGCCUAUCAGCUUGUUGGUGAGGUAAUGGCUCACCAAGGCUUCGACGGGUAGCCGGCCUGAGAGGGCGACCGGCCACACUGGGACUGAGAUACGGCCCAGACUCCUACGGGAGGCAGCAGUGGGGAAUAUUGCACAAUGGGCGCAAGCCUGAUGCAGCAACGCCGCGUGCGGGAUGACGGCCUUCGGGUUGUAAACCGCUUUCAGUAGGGACGAAGGGUGACUGACGGUACCUACAGAAGAAGGACCGGCUAACUACGUG